CCUGCGGAAAGGACAUUAAUGAUUGGUGGCUGUUGCUGACUAGUGUUUCUAGUAUGUGCACGCCACACCUUCAAUCCCACUUACACCUGUGCACCUUCUGUAAUAGAUCUAUGUGGAUACGGAGAUGUGAAAGUUUGCACUCCCCUACUCUGUUGAAGCACUCUACUACAUUUUUUUUUUUACACACACAAUAAUCAUUGAAUGUAUUUUUUUUUUUUUUUGAUAAAAACAACUUUCAUCAACGGAUCUCUUGGCUCGCCCCUCGAUGAAAAAAGUAACGAAUUAAAAUAUGAAAUGUGAAGUGAAUAAUUCAAUGAAUCAUCUAAUCUUUGAACGCACCUUGCCCUCUUUGGUAUUCCAAACAGAAUGCCUGGUUGAUUGUCAUGAAUCUCUCAAAUACAAUGAUUUUUAUUAAUUGUUGUGUUUGGACUUGAAAUGUUGUCGGGGCAAGUCAACUCUUCUUAAAUGUAUUGUCUGGGGUGUAUAUAAUUGGAUCCUUGGUGUGAUAAUUAUCUACUCCUUGAAUUCCCUGCACAGUCUGCUUCGAAUCGUCUCCUAGAGAAAAUAUUUGAAUCAACUGACCUCACAUCAAGUAGGACUACCCGCUGAACUUAACCAUAUCAUAAAAUGAAGAAAAAGAAA
rnacentral:rRNA from 1 species